CUUGCGGUUGAAGUCGGGGAUGAAGUCUGGCUCCCGUAGGAGUCCGGACGGAGUCUUCUUACGGUCGAAGUCGGAGACGAAGUCCGGCUCCCGUAGGAGUCCGGACGGAGUCUACUAGGUGGUAGACCACCGUCAAACUUGGAUGGAGUCCGCCCGUCAUGGUGAGUCCGGCCCACACUGGUGGGGGUUCAUCCGUCGGCAGAGCUCAGGGACGUUGCGAAGGCUCGACCGUCGGGGAGGUUCGAAAAGAUGUCAUCGAAGGUCGGAAGUUGACAGG
rnacentral:lncRNA from 1 species